AUUGAACGCUGGCGGCAGGCCUAACACAUGCAAGUCGAGCGAGCGGCGGACGGGUGAGUAAUGUCUCGGAGACUGCCUGAUGGAGGGGGAUAACUCCUGGAAACGGUGGCUCAUACCGCAUACCCUCUGAUGUGCCCAGAUGGGAUUAGCUAGUAGGUGGGGUAAUGGCUCACCUAGGCGACGAUCCCUCGCUGGUCUGAGAGGAUGACCAGCCACACUGGAACUGAGACACGGUCCAGACUCCUACGGGAGGCAGCAGUGGGGAAUAUUGCACAAUGGGCGCAAGCCUGAUGCAGCCAUGCCGCGUGUGUGAAGAAGGCCUUCGGGUUGUAAAGCACUUUCAGCGGGGAGGCGUUACCCGCAGAAGAAGCACCGGCUAACUCCGUGCCAGCCGCCGCGGUAAUUC
rnacentral:rRNA from 1 species